CAACCUACCCUACAACCUACCCUGCUGGCCAAGCCUCUACAACCUACCCUGCUGGCCAAGCCUCUACAACCUACCCUACUGGUCAUUCCUCUACAACCUACCCUGCUGGCCAAGCAUCUACAACCUACCCUGCUAGCUCUGCCACAGAUGAUAUAAAUCCAUAUUCUACUGCAGAUCACCCAGCUUCUCUCAUCUACUCCAAUGUGGAUCUACCUACAGAUUCUAGAGUCUCCUCAAGUCCUCCAACAGCCAGUGGAACCCAGGAUGAUUCCAUCUAUUCUACAGCCCAGCUACCCAAAGAUACUGUAGAAUCUACAAGAUACCCUGCUGUACACCUCUCUAAAGACACUCCAGAAGAUGCCCUCUACUCUACAGCCCAGCUACCCAAAGAUACUGUAGAAUCUACAAGAUACCCUGCUGUACACCUCUCUAAAGACACUCCAGAAGAUGUCCUCUACUCUACAGCCCAGCUACCCACAAUAAUGUAGUACUAUAGAAUAUAUACAAGGAAUGUGUCCCAAAUGACACCCUAUUAUGUAUCCCCCAUAUGGACCCUGGAUAAAGGCAGUGCUCUAUAGAGAACAAGGUGACAUCUGGGAUGAAGAGAAGCUCCCUGUAGAGAGACGAAGGGUUGUCACCACAGAGCCACCAUCUUGGAACGACAUUUAAAAAACAAUCCCUUUCCUGUUUCAAAUCCUCCUUGACACAUUGUAUUAAAACAGCUCAUGUAGUUUUAUUGAAUAUAAUGUAAAAUAUGAACAUCUGGGUUUAAAAUAAAUCUGUAUCUCCAGAUGUUGUGAAAGUCAAGCAACAUUUUUGCAAAUAUUCAUGUAAAUAUGUGUUUGUCAAAGCAUAUUGGAUUCAUUUAGUCUGUUAUAAUAAUGAAGACAGUAAUGACAUAAUAGUCAGUUGUACCUUUAAAUAUGUGUUUGUCAAAGCAUAUUGGAUUCAUUUGGUCUGUUAUAAUAAUGAAGACAGUCAUGACAUAAUAGUCAGUUGUACCUUUAAAUAUGUGUUUGUCAAAGCAUAUUGGAUUCAUUUAGUCUGUUAUAAUAAUGAAGACAGUAAUGACAUAAUAG
ensembl:lncRNA